AGCUUGCUGGGCGGAUUAGUGGCGAACGGGUGAGUAAUACGUGAGUAACCUGCCCUUGACUCUGGGAUAAGCCUGGGAAACUGGGUCUAAUACUGGAUACUACCUCUUACCGCAUGGUGGGUGGUGGAAAGGGUUUUACUGGUUUUGGAUGGGCUCACGGCCUAUCAGCUUGUUGGUGGGGUAAUGGCUCACCAAGGCGACGACGGGUAGCCGGCCUGAGAGGGUGACCGGCCACACUGGGACUGAGACACGGCCCAGACUCCUACGGGAGGCAGCAGUGGGGAAUAUUGCACAAUGGGCGGAAGCCUGAUGCAGCGACGCCGCGUGAGGGAUGACGGCCUUCGGGUUGUAAACCUCUUUCAGUAGGGAAGAAGCGAGAGUGACGGUACCUGCAGAAGAAGCGCCGGCUAACUACGUGCCAGCAGCCGCGGUAAUACGUAGGGCGCAAGCGUUGUCCGGAAUUAUUGGGCGUAAAGAGCUCGUAGGCGGUUUGUCGCGUCUGCUGUGAAAGCCCGGGGCUCAACCCCGGGUCUGCAGUGGGUACGGGCAGACUAGAGUGCAGUAGGGGAGACUGGAAUUCCUGGUGUAGCGGUGAAAUGCGCAGAUAUCAGGAGGAACACCGAUGGCGAAGGCAGGUCUCUGGGCUGUUACUGACGCUGAGGAGCGAAAGCAUGGGGAGCGAACAGGAUUAGAUACCCUGGUAGUCCAUGCCGUAA
rnacentral:rRNA from 1 species